AUCGCUUCUCGGCCUUUUGGCUAAGAUCAAGUGUAAAAUCACCCUGUGAUCUGUCUUCAUCUAUUAUAAUUCAUCAUUUUUGGUUUUGAACCUAU
rnacentral:snRNA from 1 species